rnacentral:rRNA from 1 species
AUUGAACGCUAGCGGCAGGCCUAACACAUGCAAGUCGAGCGGAUGAAGGGAGCUUGCUCCUGGAUUCAGCGGCGGACGGGUGAGUAAUGCCUAGGAAUCUGCCUGGUAGUGGGGGAUAACGUCCGGAAACGGGCGCUAAUACCGCAUACGUCCUGAGGGAGGAAGUGGGGGAUCUUCGGACCUCACGCUAUCAGAUGAGCCUAGGUCGGAUUAGCUAGUUGGUGGGGUAAAGGCCUACCAAGGCGACGAUCCGUAACUGGUCUGAGAGGAUGAUCAGUCACACUGGAACUGAGACACGGUCCAGACUCCUACGGGAGGCAGCAGUGGGGAAUAUUGGACAAUGGGCGAAAGCCUGAUCCAGCCAUGCCGCGUGUGUGAAGAAGGUCUUCGGAUUGUAAAGCACUUUAAGUUGGGAGGAAGGGCAGUAAGUUAAUACCUUGCUGUUUUGACGUUACCAACAGAAUAAGCACCGGCUAACUUCGUG